GGAAAUAAUAGACAAUUAAACACAAUUCCCUGGUUUAAUUAAGUGCAAUAAACUAAAUAUAGUUCAAGAAAUUAACACUCAUCACAUAGCCUUAAACAGGAUGAGAACCCUUGAUUUGAAAUUCUUUACCUUNAGUGGGGUUGAGCUUAACUGUAUGUGUUGACAAGGUUCAAGUUUAGGGUUGUAUGGGGGAAAUUGAAAGGCAGUUGAAAAGCAUUGAGCUCAAUUGUUGAGAAAGAAAAAUGCAUGAGAAAAAGAAAAGAAAAGAAGAAAAGCAUGAAGAUGAGCUCAAUGUAAAAAUAAAAGAAAAGGGAAGAAGUUGGGAAUAAGUGAGAUUGGUGAGGGAGAGAGUUGUGCUUAAACUUU
rnacentral:lncRNA from 1 species